rnacentral:rRNA from 1 species
AUUCCAGCUCCAAUAGCGUAUAUUAAAGUUGUUGUGGUUAAAAAGCUCGUAGUUGGAUUUCGGCUGGUAUAGGUUGGUUUUAAUUGCUUCAAUACUGACUUUUUUACCCGUGUGUUUUGCCAGAAUUUAACGGGUGAUCUUCGCCGAUUGUCUGUUAGAACUGACAGGUUUACUUUGAAAAAAUUAGAGUGCUCAAAGCAAGCUUGAUUGCUUGAAUAUUCGUGCAUGGAAUAAUAGAAUAGGAAGUCGUUUCUAUUUUGUUGGUUUUCGGAAAUCGACUUAAUGAUUAAUAGGGACAGUCGGGGGCAUUUGUAUUCAAACGACAGAGGUGAAAUUCUUGGACCGUUUGAAGACAAACUACUGCGAAAGCAUUUGCCAAGAAUGUUUUCAUCG